rnacentral:rRNA from 1 species
UACGUAGGGUGCAAGCGUUAAUCUGAAUUACUGGGCGUAAAGCGUGCGCAGGCGGUGAUGUAAGACAGGUGUGAAAUCCCCGGGCUUAACCUGGGAACUGCAUUUGUGACUGCAUCGCUGGAGUGCGGCAGAGGGGGAUGGAAUUCCGCGUGUAGCAGUGAAAUGCGUAGAUAUGCGGAGGAACACCGAUGGCGAAGGCAAUCCCCUGGGCCUGCACUGACGCUCAUGCACGAAAGCGUGGGGAGCAAACAGG